rnacentral:lncRNA from 1 species
AUGUGGUCGGACUUUUGGCACCAGAAGCAUUGGGUUUGGCAUCGAGAAGGAGGGUUGGAACCUAAUAUUCCUUUUUUCUUAUCAGUUGAAGGGUUUGGGACAGGCAUCGGGGAGGUCCUAUUCGGUGCUUGGGUUAGGCCAGGCUGAUUAGGAGGAUUGAAAAGGGUCUAGAUUGUGGAAGAUAAUUUUGGUUAGGUUGGGCUCCUGGGGCCAGUGGUCGAGGGUCGAUGGGCCUCACCAUAGGUAGUCUUAAGAAACUAUCUACAUCUUGAGCCAACUAGUAUGCUUGGUUAAGAGUGGUAAUCUCUCGGAGGAGUAGUUCUUUCUGGAUCUCC